rnacentral:rRNA from 1 species
AUCAUUAACUGAAUCCAUAGGUUAAUGAGGCGAACCGGGGGAACUGAAACAUCUAAGUACCCCGAGGAAAAGAAAUCAACCGAGAUUCCCCCAGUAGCGGCGAGCGAACGGGGAGGAGCCCAGAGCCUGAAUCAGCAUGUGUGUUAGUGGAAGCGUCUGGAAAGGCGCGCGAUACAGGGUGACAGCCCCGUACACAAAAGCGCAUGUGCUGUGAGCUCGAUGAGUAGGGCGGGACACGUGGUAUCCUGUCUGAAUAUGGGGGGACCAUCCUCCAAGGCUAAAUACUCCUGACUGACCGAUAGUGAACCAGUACCGUGAGGGAAAGGCGAAAAGAACCCCGGCGAGGGGAGUGAAAAAGAACCUGAAACCGUGUACGUACAAGCAGUGGGAGCACCCUUCGGGGUGUGACUGCGUACCUUUUGU